CGAUUCUCCUGCUUAGCCUCUCGAGUAGCUAGGACUACAGAUGUGUGUCACCACGCCCUGCUGAUUUUUUUUAUUUUUAGGAAAGACGGGGUUUCACCAUGUUGGUCAAGCUGGUCUCAAACUCCCGACCUCAGGUGAUCCACCCGCCUCGGCCUCCCAAAGUGCCGGGAUUACAGGUGUGAGCCACCACGCCCGACUUCUUUUUUAUUUUUUUGAGACAGAGUCUCACUCUGUUGCCUAGGCUGGAGUGCAGUGGCGCAAUCAUGCCUCACUACAGCCUCAACCUCCAGGGCCAAAAUGAUCCUCCUGCCUCCUGUAGCUGGCACUACAGGUGCCCUCCAUCUUGCCUCACUUUCUACCCCUUCUCUAUGAGACAUGUCACUCCAGCCCCAUGGGACUCCCCACCGCGUCUCAAUCAUGCCUCGGGGCCUUCGAGUUUGCUGUUCCUCAGAUACCCACAGGGCUUGCUCCCUCGUCACCUUUCCUCGUCUCUGCCCAAUAACACUUUCUCAGUGUGGCCUGUCCUGACAACCCCGUCUCAUAUUCCAGUUCUGCUUUAUUUUUGCCCAAAAGUAAAUUCCGUCUACAGGAUUUUCUAGAAUACAAGCUCCAUGAGGAAAGGGAUCUUAUCUUUCUGGUUCACAGCUGUAUUCCCAGGACCUGGAAUACAUGAGGAGGGCAGGUCACUUGAGGUCAGGAGUUCAAGACCAGCCUGGUCAACGUGGUGAAAUCCCAUCGGUGCUAAAAAUAUAAAAAUUAGCUAGCACAUAGUAGAUGCUCAGUGAGUAUCUCUGCUAAUGAAUGAACGGUUUUACAGAUGAAGAAACUGAGCUUUGCUGGGAGGCGGAGGUUACAGUGAGCUGAGAUUACGCCACUGCACUCCAGCCUGGGCAACAGUGAGACUCUGUUUCAAAAAAAAAAAAAAAUCAGAGAAAAGAAAAAGAAACUAAGCCAGGCGCAGUGGCUCACCCCUGUAAUCCCAGCACUUUGGGAUGCCAAGGCGGCUGGAUCACCUGAGGUCAGGUGUUCAAGAUCAGCCUGGCCAACAUGGUGAAACCCCAUCUCUACUAAAAAUACAAAAAAAGGCUAGGUGUGGUGGCUCACGCCUGGAAUCCCAGCACUUUGGGAGGCUGAGGCAGGCGGAACACCUGAGGUCAGGAGUUCAAGACCAGCCUGGCCAAUAUAGUGAAAACCUGUCUCUAAUAAAAAUAAAAAGUUAGCCAGGUGUGGUGGCACACCCCUGUAGUCCCAGCUACUCAGAGGCUGAGGCAGGAAAAUCGCUUGAACCCAGGAGGCAGAGGUUGCAGUGAGCCGAGAUCAUGCCAUUGCACUCCAG
rnacentral:lncRNA from 1 species